rnacentral:rRNA from 1 species
UACGUAGGGUCCGAGCGUUGUCCGGAAUUAUUGGGCGUAAAGGGCUCGUAGGCGGUUUGUCGCGUCGGGAGUGAAAACUCAGGGCUCAACCCUGAGCGUGCUUCCGAUACGGGCAUCACUGGAGUUCGGCAGGGGAGACUGGAAUUCCUGGUGUAGCGGUGAAAUGCGCAGAUAUCAGGAGGAACACCGGUGGCGAAGGCGGGUCUCUGGGCCGAUACUGACGCUGAGGAGCGAAAGCGUGGGGAGCAAACAGG